rnacentral:rRNA from 1 species
UACAGAGGUCUCAAGCGUUGUUCGGAUUCAUUGGGCGUAAAGGGUGCGUAGGCGGCCCUGUAAGUCAGCGCUGAAAUAUCCCGGCUUAACCGGGAGGGUGGCAUUGAUACUGCAGGGCUUGAGUAAAGUUGAGGUUGGCGGAAUUGACGGUGUAGCGGUGAAAUGCUUAGAUAUCGUCAAGAACACCGAUAGUGAAGACAGCUAACUAAGCUUUAACUGACGCUGAGGCACGAAAGUGUGGGGAUCAAACAGG